UCAAGCGCGAAAAGGGCGUUUGGUGGAUGCCUAGGCAGCAAGAGGCGAUGAAGGACGUGAUACCCUGCGUUAAGCUUUGGGGAGCCGGGAAUAGGCUUUGAUCCAGAGAUCUCCGAAUGGGGAAACCCACCUGACGGUUUUUGGUUGUUGCUACGCAACGCACGCUCCGCGCCGACCCUUGGUCGGAGGCGGGCCUGCGCCCGCGCAGCUCUCAUCCAGAAACCGAAACAGGUACUUUUACCCUGAAUCCAUAGGGGUUUAAGAGCAAACCCGGGGAACUGAAACAUCUAAGUACCCGGAGGAAAGGAAAUCAACAGAGACUCCGUUAGUAGUGGCGAGCGAACGCGGACCAGCCGAGCCUGGAAGAACGAGUGGAAUGGUCUGGAAAGGCCAGCGACAUGGGUGACAGCCCCGUACACGAAGUUCCAGAGGACGUAUCAAGUAGGGCGGGACACGUGUAAUCCUGUCUGAAGAUCGGGGGACCACCCCCGAAGGCUAAGUACUCCUUGCUGACCGAUAGCGAACCAGUACCGUGAGGGAAAGGUGAAAAGCACCCCGACGAGGGGAGUGAAACAGUACCUGAAACCGGACGCCUACAAGCAGUCGGAGGGGCCUUGAGCCCUGACGGCGUACCUUUUGUAUAAUGGGUCAACGACUUGGUCUUACGAGCAAGCUUAAGCCGAUAGGUGUAGGCGCAGCGAAAGCGAGUCUUAAAAGGGCGCAUGAGUUCGUGGGAUCAGACCCGAAACCAGGUGAUCUAGCCAUGAGCAGGAUGAAGGUUGGGUAACACCAACUGGAGGUCCGAACCAACACCCGUUGAAAAGGGUCUGGAUGACUUGUGGCUAGGGGUGAAAGGCUAAUCAAACCUGGAGAUAGCUGGUUCUCCGCGAAAGCUAUUUAGGUAGCGCCUCGGACGAAUACCUGCGGGGGUAGAGCACUGCAUGGAUGAUGGGGGCCCACAGCCUUACUGAGUCUAAGCAAACUCCGAAUACCGCAGAGUACUAUCCGGGAGACACACAGUGGGUGCUAACGUCCAUUGUGAAGAGGGAAACAACCCUGACCUGCAGCUAAGGCCCCUAAUUCGUGGCUAAGUGGGAAAGCAUGUGGGACGGCCAAAACAACCAGGAUGUUGGCUUAGAAGCAGCCAUCAUUUAAAGAUAGCGUAACAGCUCACUGGUCUAGAUAAGCUGUCCUGCGGCGAAGAUGUAACGGGGCUCAAGCCACGAGCCGAAGCUCAGGAUGCACAGCGAUGUGCGUGGUAGCGGAGCGUUCUGUGAUAUAGCUCAUCAUGUCUUAUCCGUCGAAAGACGGUGACGGACAUGGAGAGCUUUCUGUGAAGCCGGGCUGUAAGGCAUCCGGUGGAGAGAUCAGAAGCGAGAAUGUUGACAUGAGUAGCGACAAAGAGGGUGAGAGACCCUCUCGCCGAAAGUCCAAGGGUUCCUGCUUAAAGCUAAUCUGAGCAGGGUAAGCCGGCCCCUAAGGCGAGGCCGAAAGGCGUAGUCGAUGGGAACCAGGUUAAUAUUCCUGGGCCAGUGGGAUGUGACGGAUCGCAGGUGUAGUUCGGUCUUAUCGGAUUGACCGGGCUGCUGAGCGGUUCCAGGAAAUAGCCCCACAUCAGACCGUACCCUAAACCGACACAGGUGGACUGGUAGAGUAUACCAAGGCGCUUGAGAGAAUGAUGCUGAAGGAACUCGGCAAUUUACCUCCGUAACUUCGGGAUAAGGAGGCCCAGUGUUCAGGCAACUGUUCAUUGGGGGCACAGACCAGGGGGUAGCGACUGUUUAACUAAAACACAGGGCUCUGCGAAAUCGUAAGAUGACGUAUAGGGUCUGACGCCUGCCCGGUGCCGGAAGGUUAAAAGGAGGUGUGCAAGCACCGAAUUGAAGCCCCGGUAAACGGCGGCCGUAACUAUAACGGUCCUAAGGUAGCGAAAUUCCUUGUCGGG
rnacentral:rRNA from 1 species